CUUUCUCUGUUUGUAGCGCUCUCUUCUCUCUUCUCUCUCUCUCUCGAGGCGAUUCACCGCCAGAUUUCCGCCCAUUCCUUCACCGCCAUUCACCUCCGUGAAGACUAGGGUUCUUUGCGCCCCGCCGCCUUCGUCGUCAUCGUCGUCCGCAACAGAGUUGGCGAUUCCGGCGGCGUGGUGGUCGCAGCACCACCGCUGGCGAAGAUCUCCCAUUUUCUCUCUCUGGCGGACAGAUCGAAGCUGCACCGAUCUGUUG
rnacentral:lncRNA from 1 species